rnacentral:rRNA from 1 species
CCUACGGGAGGCAGCAGUGAGGAAUAUUGGUCAAUGGGCGCAAGCCUGAACCAGCGACGCCGCGUGGGUGAAGAAGGCCUUCGGGUCGUAAAGCCCUUUUCUGUGUGAAGAGAGAGGACGGUAGCACAGGAAUAAGCGUCGGCUAACUACGUGCCAGCAGCCGCGGUAAAACGUAGGACGCAAGCGUUAUCCGGAAUUACUGGGCGUAAAGGGCGUGCAGGCGGUUUCUUAAGUUAGGCGUGAAAGCUCCGGGCUAAACCUGGAGAGGUCGUCUGAUAGUGGGAGACUAGAGUGUGGUAGAGGGGUGUAGAAUUCCGGGUGUAGUGGUGAAAUGCGUAGAUAUCCGGAGGAAUACCAGUGGCGAAGGCGGCACCCUGGGCCACAACUGACGCUAAGACGCGAAAGCAUGGGUAGCGAACGGGAUUAGAUACCCGGGUAGUC